rnacentral:rRNA from 1 species
UACGAAGGGGGCUAGCGUUGCUCGGAAUCACUGGGCGUAAAGGGUGCGUAGGCGGGGCUUUAAGUCAGGGGUGAAAUCCUGGAGCUCAACUCCAGAACUGCCUUUGAUACUGAGGAUCUUGAGUACGGGAGAGGUGAGUGGAACUGCGAGUGUAGAGGUGAAAUUCGUAGAUAUUCGCAAGAACACCAGUGGCGAAGGCGGCUCACUGGCCCGUAACUGACGCUGAGGCACGAAAGCAUGGGGAGCGAACAGG